GAUGAACGCUAGCGGCAGGCCUAACACAUGCAAGUCGAGGGGUAUAGGGAGCUUGCUUCCUAGAGACCGGCGCACGGGUGCGUAACGCGUAUGCAAUCUACCUUGUACAGGGGAAUAGCCCAGAGAAAUUUGGAUUAAUGCCCCAUAGUAUUAUUAAAUGGCAUCCUUUAAUAAUUAAAGUUCCAACGGUACAAGAUGAGCAUGCGUCCUAUUAGUUAGUUGGUGUGGUAACGGCAUACCAAGACGAUGAUAGGUAGGGGUCCUGAGAGGGAGAUCCCCCACACUGGUACUGAGACACGGACCAGACUCCUACGGGAGGCAGCAGUGAGGAAUAUUGGACAAUGGGCGCAAGCCUGAUCCAGCCAUGCCGCGUGCAGGAAGACGGUCCUAUGGAUUGUAAACUGCUUUUAUACAGGAAGAAACACUGGUUCGUGAACCAGCUUGACGGUACUGUAAGAAUAAGGAUCGGCUAACUCCGUGCCAGCAGCCGCGGU
rnacentral:rRNA from 1 species